AGAUAAUAUUUUUCGUUUUUACACAUAUAACAGUGUGCGUUUAGACACAAAUAACAUAUUUCUGUAGAAAUCUGAAAAUUUCAAAAUAUUGGACAUGUUCCCUAACUAAAGCGGUACUAAAACCUCCAGAAAACUGUCAGGUAUAACAGUAAAAAAUUUGGCGACGAUACGUUGAACGGUGUGGAUUUACACGCGUGGCAAAAAAUCUGGACUUUCUUUUAUAUAUAAACGUACGACGGGACUGACAGUCACAAAGAGCCAUCGCGAUUCCGAAUACACAGGGCUGUUACUUGCAAUCGGGGGCGUGUGUACAGAGAGUGGAGACGGGGGACGUCGUAGAGCGGUCACCAUAUAGCACAGCGAGACGUUCGAGGUUAGUGACGACGAGGACGACGCCGAGCGCUUUUGAGGUACGUGUUACCUCCUCCUCAUCAUCGUUACUAUAGAUGUGGACGAUCGCGGCCGUCAAUGACGAGCGUUAACGUGACGACCACCAAACAUGCGUUUCUGUAUAGAACCGUAACAUCACGAACGCCGAACACAUCAAAGUAGCGUAGUGGUGAUAUACAACGGAAUAUGGCGACACCACAUCUAUCGUCGACACUGAUCACGCAUUUAUAGCAUCCUCUCGUAGCCCGACGAUCAUCUCAUGUCUGUACAUUUUGUCGGAACAAUAAUGAAAUUACUAUAAUUACUAUUUCGUGUAUUUUUAAUUGUAUUGUAUAUGGUUUAAUGUGAGGUUUUAAAAAUUCAAAAAAUUUUACAUUGUUGUUCUUUUAAAAAUAAUCUUUACAAUAAAAUAGCCACAUAUCAAAAUAUUAUACAUUUUUAGAUCGAUGUUUUAUAAACUUAUAUCAUUUAUAUCAUUAUAACUCAACAACGAUUUAAUAAGAUAAGUAUUCAUUACUAAUAUUAAAAUUUAUUUUAUUAUACUGCAAAAUAACCGA